ACGUAGGGGGCAAGCGUUGUUCGGAAUUACUGGGCGUAAAGGGCAUGUAGGCGGCCUUGUAAGCUUGGCGUGAAAGUCCACGGCUUAACCGUGGGAUUGCGUUGAGAACUGCGAGGCUUGAGUGACGGAGAGGGAGCUAGAAUUCCUGGUGGAGGGGUGGAAUGUGUAGAUAUCAGGAGGAAUACCAAUGGCGAGGGCAAGCUCCAGGGCGAUGACCGACGCUGAGGUGCGAAAGUGUGGGGAUGAAACAG
rnacentral:rRNA from 1 species